rnacentral:ncRNA from 1 species
AUGCUGACGUAGAAAAGGAGUAGUACUCAUAUUUGGGAAUAAAGAGAGCUGACGGUUGGUGCAAGUCAGUCGAACAACUAUGACGAACUCGCCUUGGAGUCUUAAGAGGAAUAACUUGUUCCGACAACGGGUCACGAACGUUACACGUGAAGAGCGAAUGAUUUAAUCAUUAAUGUGGGUGGUACCGCGGGAAGUAUAGAUAACUCUCGUCCCUAAC